rnacentral:rRNA from 1 species
GAUGAACGCUGGCGGCGUGCCUAAUACAUGCAAGUCGAGCGAACAGACGAGGAGCUUGCUCCUCUGACGUUAGCGGCGGACGGGUGAGUAACACGUGGAUAACCUACCUAUAAGACUGGGAUAACUUCGGGAGACCGGAGCUAAUACCGGAUAAUAUAUUGAACCGCAUGGUUCAAUAGUGAAAGACGGUUUUGCUGUCACUUAUAGAUGGAUCCGCGCCGCAUUAGCUAGUUGGUAAGGUAACGGCUUACCAAGGCAACGAUGCGUAGCCGACCUGAGAGGGUGAUCGGCCACACUGGAACUGAGAAACGGUCCAGACUCCUAGGGGGGGAAGCAGUAGGGAAUCUUCCGCAAUGGGCGAAAGCCUGACGGAGCAACGCCGCGUGAGUGAUGAAGGUCUUAGGAUCGUAAAACUCUGUUAUUAGGGAAGAACAAAUGUGUAAGUAACUAUGCACGUCUUGACGGUACCUAAUCAGAAAGCCACGGCUAACUACGUG